rnacentral:rRNA from 1 species
GAUGAACGCUGGCGGCGUGCCUAAUACAUGCAAGUCGAGCGAACAGACGAGGAGCUUGCUCCUCUGACGUUAGCGGCGGACGGGUGAGUAACACGUGGAUAACCUACCUAUAAGACUGGGAUAACUUCGGGAAGCCGGAGCUAAUACCGGAUAAUAUAUUGAACCGCAUGGUUCAAUAGUGAAAGACGGUUUUGCUGCCACUUAUAGAUGGAUCCGCGCUGCAUUAGCUAGUUGGUAAGGUAACGGCUUACCAAGGCGACGAUGCGUAGCCGACCUGAGAGGGUGAUCGGCCACACUGGAACUGAGACACGGUCCAGACUCCUACGGGAGGCAGCAGUAGGGAAUCUUCCGCAAUGGGCGAAAGCCUGACGGAGCAACGCCGCGUGAGUGAUGAAGGUCUUCGGAUCGUAAAACUCUGUUAUUAGGGAAGAACAAAUGUGUAAGUAACUAUGCACGUCUUGACGGUACCUAAUCAGAAAGCCACGGCUAACUACGUG